CCCUUAGAUGUUCUGGGCCGCACGCGCGCUACACUGAUGCAUUCAACGAGUCUAAAACCUGGUCUGAGAGGGCUGGGUAAUCUUUUGAAAGUGCAUCGUGAUUGGGAUAGAUGAUUGCAAUUCUUCAUCUUCAACGAGGAAUGCCUAGUAAACGCAAGUCAUCAGCUUGCAUUGAUUACGUCCCUGCCCUUUGUACACACCGCCCGUCGCUCCUACCGAUUGGACGAUCCGAUGAAAACUGUGGAUUGAGAGUCUGAGUGGGUUCGCCUACCUCAACUUUCGAGAAGCGGUUUAAAUCUUAUCGUUUAGAGGAAGGAGAAGUCGUAACA
rnacentral:rRNA from 1 species